UAUUAAAAAUAUUCGUCCAUUCGUACAAUUAAAAAUUGAAUGGCUAAUGGAAUAACUAAGCAGUGACACAUGGCAUGCAUGUACCUUAUAUUGAUGUGCAAGACCAAUUUUUAACAGUAGAAAUGAAUGAAAUUUUUAACA
rfam:Gossypium arboreum cultivar AKA8401 contig_100352_1, whole genome shotgun sequence.